rnacentral:rRNA from 1 species
AUACGGAGGAUGCAAGCGUUAGCCGGAUUUAUUGGGUUUAAAGGGUGCGUAGGCGGAUGAUUAAGCGUGAGGUGAAAUGCCACUGCUCAACAGUGGAACUGCCUCGCGAACUGGUUGUCUUGACUGCUCCUGCCGUGGGAGGAAUGUGUGGUGUAGCGGAGAAAUGCAUAGAGAUCCCACAGAACACCGAUUGCGAAGGCAUCUCACGAAGGGGUGAUUGACGCUGAGGCACGAAAGCGUGGGGAUCAAACAGGAUUAGAUACCCUGGUAGUCCACGCAGUAAACGAUGAUAACUACCCGCUGGGUCGUAGUGAUUCAGUGGCCAAGCGAAAGCGAUAAGUUAUCCACCUGGGGAGUACGGCCGCAAGGUUGAAACUGAAAGGAAUUGACGGGG